AUAUAUAUGGAUGUAUGUGUGUGUUCAUUCAUACUAAAUAAUGUAUUUGGUACUUUAGGUUGUUGAAAUAUGUGUGUUUCUUACUGAUUGGUAUACUGAGUGGUAAUUCCAUUUUAACUAUACUGUGUUUUUAAAACUGUAAAGAUUGAGACUGAAUUAUAUAUGUAACUCUUUACUAGAUGUAUGCCAGUCAUCAACAAACAAAUAUAUACACACAUGCAUAUGUAUAUAUGUGUGUGUGUGUGUGUAAUGCACGUUAAAUAUCAUGAUGAUGAGAAUACAUACACAUGCUUACAUAUAUAUAUGUAUAUAUAUUUCUUUUUUUUUUUAUUUUCAUAAAGCUUCCCGUUAUAUAUAUAUAUAUAUAUAUACAUACAUAAAUACAUACAUACAUACAUACAUAUACCAGAGUAAGCAGAAAAAUGUGAAACAAGGUGGAAAAAAAAGAGUACUCAAAUACCAGAGUAGAGUAAUAUGCUUUAUUAAUAAAACUGCGAAAACAACAAAAACUCAGUUACUCAGUUUCUCAUUCUCAUUCUGAUGAACAGGAAUGUGAAACUCUGAAUAACAGUUUUUGUGAUGACCUUGCAGCUUUAUGUAUACAUACAUAAGGGCAUCCAGCUGUAGAAACAUUGCCAGAUUAGACUGGAGCCUGGUGCAGCCUUCUGGCUUCCCAGAACCCCGGUCGAACCGUCCAACCCAUGCUAGCAUGGAGAACGGACGUUAAACGAUGAUGAUGAUGAUGAUGUAUAUAUAUAUAUAUAUAUAUAUAUAUAUAUAUAUAUAUAUAUAUAUAUAUACAAAAUUAGAAAAUGGAGAAACAUAUAUAUAUAUAUAUAUAUAUAUAUAUAUAUAUAUACAAAAUUAGAAAAUGGAGAAACAUAUAUAUAUAUAUAUAUAUAUAUAUAUAUAUAUAUAUAUAUAUACAUACAUACUCGUGCAUAUUUAUGACAACCAUACAGUAUUUAUUUUUGCAAGGUAAAAAUGAUUUAAUUUAUAGUUGAAAAAAACACUGUUCAUUCACUGAUCACUGUUAUUGACUUUGAUCUCUUCCCCUUGUAUGUUACUUUAGUUCUGGGUUAGGAGUGGAGUGUAGACAUAGUACAGAGUGCUAGACUAAAUAUGUUAUAAUAUUUAGCUUUAUUCUUCUGCAUUCCAUGUUAAACUCCUAAAAUGCGUAACUUUGUCCUUGCAUCACUUGAGGGUUGAGUAAAUAUGUACCAGUAAUAAUAUAUUGUAGUAUGUACUGUCAUCUGUAGUUUUCUCUUGCAAAAAUUAAUCUUGCAUAUUGUCCAAAAAUAUUGAUUUGUUUUGUGGAGGUUUGUGAGUUGUCAAAAAUGGCAGUGUUUUGUAUUUAUAUGUCUUACAAUAUCUGUGCUGUUCUAGUUUCUGAGAUUUUUAGCUUUGGUAGUUAUUUUAUCAAACCCUGAGUGUUUAAGGGAACAUGUACAAGUUAUGUUCUGAAAAUGUUACAAUUAUCUAUCCUCAUCUAUUUAAAAAUUUUCUUCGUUCUGCCAAAGAAAUUCAAUUUUGUAUUUUGAGUAGGAAUUGAACUCUGUUCAGGGACUAAAUUGGCUCAAAAAUAUAUAUAUAUAAACACUAUCCUAUAAUCAAAGUAUCAUCUCUCAAAGCAUUCUAAUAAUGACUUUCAGUGAGAUAACCUGAAGAGCUGUUCUGACUGUUUCAUCUAUCAUCUCAUGUACAAACCUGUAUAAAAUUUUUUAUCAAAUCUUACCUCAGCAUCACUGGCUGUUCAUCUUAAGCAAACUUUUGAUUAGAGAAACCAUAUUUUUAACAUGUUAAACUGGGCUCAAAAAUAGAGGAAAGGGAAACUCAAAAAACUAAUUUCCGUUGCUUACUUCUGACAGAAACAUCUAGUCGUGUUUUAGUCCACAUUUUUAAUUAAAUUAUUAGUUAGUUUAAUUAUCUACUACUUGUUACACUAAUAUACAUCAGUAUUAUUUAUAGAAACAUUAUAAAUGCAAAUUUUAACAUUGUGAGACCACUUUUACAUAUCAGGAUAUUUUCAUCAUAUUAUCAACAUACCAGACUUUGAAGAGAUUUGGUGGUUAUUUUUGCAAGAAGCAGCAAUCAAGUAGAUAUUCUGACACAUUAUAGCAAGGUAGAGACGCUGAUAUAAUUUCAGUCUCUGGUUGAACUCACAGCAAACUUGCACUAAACUUACAAUGGUAAUUCUUUUGAAAGAAGCAUGAAAAAAAUUCUCUAAAAUAUAGGAUCUUUAUCACUUUGAUCACUUUGACCGACCAGUCCGUCAGGCGUCCAUUUGACACCGCUGAUCACAGCACGCUGUCCACUCUUCUCUGGAUCGCGCCCCUCUCAUCCACGUGAUCCCAAUCGUCCUCUUGAAAUUGUCACUCCACCGUCGUGGAGGUCUUCCGGGUGGUCUUUUCCGCUCAUGUGGGUACCACUCGACAACUGCGUGCAUCCACCGGUUAUCGGGGAGUCGGGUGACGUGUCCAGCCCAUCUAUACUUGCAAUGUUAUAUGGUAGCUACCACAAAGAGAGAAGAGCAAAGACUGAUAACGGCUCAAAGAGCCAUGGAAAGGUCAAUGCUUGGUAUCUCGUUGAGAAAGCACAUAAAUAGCAACAUCAUCAGAAAGAAGUCCGGCGUGAGAGAUGUCAUCGCAGAGUAUACUCGCAGCAAGUAUAAGGAUCUUUAUAUCUAAAGAAAAGAAAACAAGAAAUAUAUUUUGUCUUUUGGGGCUGAAAAAUAAUAAAAGUAUGACUUGAUAACAGAGAUUAAAGUUGUUCAAAAUAUUAAUACAAUGUUUUCCAUUGCUGCAUUAGAGCAGCAAGCUGGCAGAAUUGUUCCCGUGCUGGAUGAGAUGCUUAAAGGUAUUUCUUUCAACUUUACCUUCUGAGUUCAAAUCCUGCUGAGGUUAGCUUUACCUUUCAUCCUUUUGGGGUUGAUAAAAUAAAUAAGUGCCAGUUGAGCACAGGGUUGAUGUAAUCAACUUAACCUCCUUGAAAUUAUUGGCCUUGUGCCAAAAUUUGAAACCAACACUAUAAAAUAUUUGUAACCAGCCUUUAGUAAAAAAACGUUGCCGUAUCAUCAUAACAUCAUCAUAACAAUGUUCUUUUGUCAAGAGAUUACUGAACUAAAAUUUACUCUAUUUCAUAUAUGAUAUUAGUGUUCCUUAUUUGAGCAUGUGAAAGAAAAGAACCUAUUAAUAUUACUGAAGAAAUCUUUCAUCACUUACUUGUUUCAGUCAUUAGACUGUGGCCAUGCUGAGGAGGCAUGCUUUGAAGAAUUUUUAGUCGAUUGAAUUGGCCCCAGAAGUUUUUCUUUUUUGUUUUUUUAAACCUGGUGCUUAUCCUAUCAAUCUCUUUUGCUGGAUCACUAAGUUAUGGGGACAUAAACACCAACACUGGUUGUCAAGCAGUGUAGGACACACACACACACACACACACACAUAUAUAUAUAUAUAUAUAUAACAAUCUGCUUUCAGUUUCCAUCUGCCAAAUCCACUCACAAGGCUUUGGUAGGCCCAAGGUGCCACAGACUAGGACUUAACUUGGAAAUAUGUGAUUGGGAAGCAAGUUUCUUACCACACAGUCACACCUGC
rnacentral:lncRNA from 1 species